rnacentral:rRNA from 1 species
AUGGCUUCCGUUGCCGCCGACCCGCACGCUGCCCUCGCUGGCGCGGGGACGCCGCCCCACGGUAGCCCCGUCGCGGGGAAGAGGGCGGCCGCCACCGCGUGGAAGCGCCCGGAGAACGGGCCGGUGCUGGUGGCGCCCGGGAGCCCCAUCAUGGACGCCAACUCCUGGCCGGCGCUUCCUGGGCUGGCCUCUCCCCAGCCGCCCACACCGCCCAAGGCGUCGCCUAAGGCCGCUCCUCCCCCUUCCACUGUGGCAGCUAUCUUGCCCGUGUCCUUGGACAUCUCCGACGCUCCGGAUGCUACCCCUGAUCAGGACGCACUGGAGACAGUGAUUUUACCGGUGUCUUUGGACAUCUCUGGCGCUCCGGAUGCUACCACUGUUAAGGACGCUGGGACCAGUAGUCCACCGGUCCGGCGUGUGUUGAUGAUGCCUGCAGGGGAUGACGGGCCAGAGAUGCAUGCUCUUAUUCCAGAGCCAUCUCUAGGAUACUCUCCUAAUGCCCGGAGCAAUGGUACCGGCGUUCAUCAUCAGAAUGGCCGUUUUGGUUCCCAUCCUCAUGGCCGAGGUGGCAGUUACGGUGGGGGGAGAAGGGGUAAUGGUGGAGGUGGUAGUCGCCAUGGUCAUGAGCACCAUGGUGGGUUUGAUGGGCAACGGCGUGGUGGUGGCCGUAGAGAUGGACAUGGGCCAGGGCACCAGCAUCGUGUUCACCAGCCACCGUACAUUAGGGCUCCUCCUCCUCUGGCUGUUUUAGCGGCGGGACCUCCCGCGCCACAAUUUGCUGGCCCUGCUACUCCACAGACACCACCUUAUGGAACUGCUGCUCCACAGACACCACCUUAUGGGGCGCCUAUGGGAUUCCCUGCAGAGAUGGCACCUCACGUUUACUAUUUUGCCGUGCCCCCUUCGGAUGGUCUUCAAGCCCUUCCUUUUGCGCCUCCUCCACCAACCCCUCCAGCCAUGCUAAUUUCUCCACUGGAACAACUUCAAAGGGACCUACUGGUGCAGAUAGACUACUACUUUAGUGAUGAAAAUUUGUGCAAGGACAUAUUCUUGAGGAGACAUAUGGAUGACCAUGGUUGGGUGCCAUUAUCCUUGAUUGCUGGCUUUAACCAGGUCCAAAGGCUCCUAUAUCGUAUUGGACAAGUCAAAAACUUGACUAAUAGUUUGCAGUUUAUCUUGGAUACAGUCAGGCAGUCUACUGUGGUGGAAGUACAGGGUGACAAAAUACGGAGGCGUGCAAGAUGGGAGAUUUGGUUGCUUCCCAGACCAAAUUAUUCUGAUGCCCCCGUGACAUCCAACAUUGAUUCAUUGGCGUCUCAGUUUGAUCAAUCUGUUGGACUUGAGGGGACAUACUAUCCUCGUGAAGCUCUCCUUACUAGAUCAGCAACUUCAGUUAGUAUAGGCUAUCAAGCACCUACCUUCAGAGGACUACACAGCAAUGGCAGUGGACCCAUUUUUGGGCAGCAGACAGAGAGAAGUUUGCUCAGAAGCGAUACCUUUUGA